GACGAACGCUGGCGGCGUGCUUAACACAUGCAAGUCGAACGGAAAGGCCCUGCUUUUGUGGGGUGCUCGAGUGGCGAACGGGUGAGUAACACGUGAGUAACCUGCCCUUGACUUUGGGAUAACUUCAGGAAACUGGGGCUAAUACCGGAUAGGAGCUCCUGCUGCAUGGUGGGGGUUGGAAAGUUUCGGCGGUUGGGGAUGGACUCGCGGCUUAUCGGCUUGUUGGUGGGGUAGUGGCUUACCAAGGCUUUGACGGGUAGCCGGCCUGCGAGGGUGACCGGCCACAUUGGGCCUGAGAUACGGCCCAGACUCCUACGGGAGGCAGCAGUGGGGACUAUUGCACGAUGGGCGGAAGCCUGAUGCAGCAACGCCGCGUGCGGGAUGACGGCCUUCGGGUUGUAACCCGCUUUAGCCUGUGACGAAGCGUGAGUGACGGUAAUGGGUAAAGAAGCACCGGCUAACUACGUG
rnacentral:rRNA from 1 species